rfam:Nicotiana attenuata strain TT chromosome 2, whole genome shotgun sequence.
AAGCUGUGAUGAAUAUUUGCGCCCAAUGUGGUGAUGAGGGUCUCCGCAGUUGUCUGAAUUUAUCGGAUGAAGAGUUACGCAUCUGAGCUU